AUUGAACGCUGGCGGCAUGCUUUACACAUGCAAGUCGAACGGCAGCGAGGAGAAGCUUGCUUCUCUGUCGGCGAGUGGCGAACGGGUGAGUAUAGCAUCGGAACGUGCCAAGUAUUGGGGGAUAACCAAACGAAAGUUUGGCUAAUACCGCGAAAGCCCUAAGGAGGAAAGUAGGGGACCUAAAUAAGGCCUUACGCUAUUUGAUCGGCCGAUGUCGGAUUAGCUAGUUGGUGGGGUAAUGGCUCACCAAGGCAAUGAUCCGUAGCGGGUCUGAGAGGACGAUCCGCCACACUGGGACUGAGACACGGCCCAGACUCCUACGGGAGGCAGCAGUGGGGAAUUUUGGACAAUGGGGGAAAGUCUGAUCCAGCCAUGCCGCGUGUAUGAAGAAGGCCUUAGGGUUGUAAAGUACUUUUGUUAGGGAAGAACAGCUAGUUUUUAAUAAAAAUUAGUGAUGACGGUACCUAAAGAAUAAGCCCCGGCUAACUACGUG
rnacentral:rRNA from 1 species